GGAUCAAUGAUGAGACCUCAUAGUAUCUUGAAGAAUAAUGAUGACUUAAAAAUCAUGCCCAAUAGGAUUAUGCUGAGGCCC
ensembl:snoRNA SNORD115 Small nucleolar RNA SNORD115